rnacentral:lncRNA from 1 species
UCAGAACUGAUCUCAUAUCCAUGAGAUUUCAUUUGGAAGUCAGUGCUAAGGUACUGCUGACUUACAGCAGGCAACAUGCAUUUAUUUAGAGAAUGGUGACAAUAUAUUGAACACCCAAACCCUUUAUCUCCCAGACAAUUCUUUAAUACCAGGAGAUUCCUGAUACACAAGAGAAGAAGCUAUGGGUAAACAGCCACCUGCUUGCAGACCUGCCUGAGCCAAUGAACCUGGAAUAGAAAAGCAAAUACCUACAUUUUGAAAAGAUGGAAGUAUAAACAAAGCAGUCGACAAGAUAAUGGAUGAAAAAGCAGAAGAUAGAGCACAAAGAUCCCAAAUUGCAGAGGGACAGUCUGAAAGAAACCAGGAAAUUCCUGUGACAUGAU